rnacentral:lncRNA from 1 species
CUGCAUAUAUUUUACCAUUAGUUCCUCAAAGUUUACGUCUCCCCACAUGAGUACCUCAAGAACAUAUUUUGAAAUUAAUUUGUUAAAAAUAAACCAUUAAUGUACUUAUAAUAUGUUUCUAGUCGCUCAAAUAAAUAAAAAGCAAACAAUUACUUUAUUUGCUUACACAUUUCUUUCACACCAACCACAACAAACACUAGAGUCACACUAAGCACC